GGUUAAGCGACUAAGCGUACACGGUGGAUGCCCUGGCAGUCAGAGGCGAUGAAGGACGUGCUAAUCUGCGAUAAGCGUCGGUAAGGUGAUAUGAACCGUUAUAACCGGCGAUUUCCGAAUGGGGAAACCCAGUGUGAUUCGUCACACUAUCAUUA
rnacentral:rRNA from 1 species